UCAGCACAGAGCCCGACGCGGGGCUCGAACUCACGGACCGCGAGAUCAUGACCUGAGCCGAAGUCGGCCGCUUAACCGACUGAGCCACCCAGGCGCCCCAGGCUGGGGACUUCUUGAGACAGGCUGGAAGAGUUGGCUUUGAGGAUACAAGGUUAGAGUGAUUUAGAUGGAGGUCAAGGACAAGUUAGAAAUAAAGAACGAUCCCUGAAAUAAAACACACAGCGAGGCUGGUGUGGGAGGAAUCCCAACUCUUUUCGGAAGUCACUUGGGGCAAUCAGGGUGGGAAAAUAGGGCAUGGACUGUUCAGAUUCUUGAUCCCCAAAGAAACCCUAGAUUCUAGAAUUCCCCGGGGGAAGGUGCUCCUAACCCACGAGCCUAGACCUUUUUACCUUUCGUCUGGAGGAUACACAGAUGUGUCCAGGAACAUCAGUCUGGAUCACCAAACUACACUUCUUGGGAUUGGCCUGGAGGUGGCGCCCUUGCUGUUGGUCUGGAACCAUUGGACGGAGGCUCAGGCAGGUCUGGAGGAGGAUGUUACCCAGUGGAAGAUGUCCUGAGGGCUAGCCUGGUCCCUUUCAUCUCCUGGAAGAGAACAGGGGCGUCGCCCAAGCCUAAGAGCACUGCCACGUCUUUGAAUUGCUCCAGAAUGAGGGAGGUAAUUGAUUUCCUUAUCAAGAUGCCGGGCGAUACAUUUUUCACGGCUUUCCGGGCACACGGCGGAUCUAAAACCAUUGUCUGGCUGAUGCAGGUUUCAGCUCCAAUCAUUUUUAUCAUCAAGGUAAACCUGCUGGCAUAUGUUUUUUUUCAAAUUUUAUUCAUAAGUGUUGUCUUUUACCGGUCAAAUAAAUGAUAGCGUUCUUUACUUUGUGAUUGCGUUAUCCAAAAAUAAGAAAGGGUUUUUAACAAUGAUCAAAAUGAAGCUUGUUAGAUCAUUUCUAAUGGUAAUGAAUUGGUUCCUGAAGAUUUGAUUAAAGACAAAACUAGGUCAGUUUAAGCAGAGUCCAAAUGAGACAGAAAGAAAGUCCAUGGAGGGGAAGGAAAAAAAAAAAAAAAAAAAAAGGAAGGUGUAGAAGCAGAGACACCGUAAAAGAAAAAAUUUGAAAAGUAUCAGGGCGCCUGAGCGGCUCAGUCCAUUAAGCGUCUGACUUUGGCUCAGGUCCUGAUCUUGCGGUUCAUGAGUUCAAGCCCUGCAUCGGGCUCAGUGCCGACAGCUCAGAGCCUGGAGCCUGCUUCAGACUCUCUGCCCCUCUCCCGCUUGCACUCUGUCUCUCUCUCUCUCUCUCUCUCUCUCUCUCUCAAAAAUUAAUAAACAUUAAAAAUACUUUUUUAAGGGGCGCCUG
rnacentral:lncRNA from 1 species